GAUGAACGCUGGCGGCGUGCCUAAUACAUGCAAGUCGAGCGAACAGACGAGGAGCUUACUCCUCUGACGUUAGCGGCGGACGGGUGAGUAACACGUGGAUAACCUACCUAUAAGACUGGGAUAACUUCGGGAAACCGGAGCUAAUACCGGAUAACAUGUUGAACCGCAUGGUUCAACAGUGAAAGACGGUCUUGCUGUCACUUAUAGAUGGAUCCGCGUCGCAUUAGCUAGUUGGUAAGGUAACGGCUUACCAAGGCAACGAUGCGUAGCCGACCUGAGAGGGUGAUCGGCCACACUGGAACUGAGACACGGUCCAGACUCCUACGGGAGGCAGCAGUAGGGAAUCUUCCGCAAUGGGCGAAAGCCUGACGGAGCAACGCCGCGUGAGUGAAGAAGGUCUUCGGAUCGUAAAACUCUGUUAUUAGGGAAGAACAAAUGUGUAAGUAACUAUGCACGUCUUGACGGUACCUAAUCAGAAAGCCACGGCUAACUACGUGCCAGCAGCCGCGGUAAUACGUAGGUGGCAAGCGUUAUCCGGAAUUAUUGGGCGUAAAGCGCGCGUAGGCGGUUUUUUAAGUCUGAUGUGAAAGCCCACGGCUCCACCGUGGAGGGUCAUUGGAAACUGGAAAACUUGAGUGCAGAAGAGGAAAGUGGAAUUCCAUGUGUAGCGGUGAAAUGCGCAGAGAUAUGGAGGAACACCAGUGGCGAAGGCGACUUUCUGGUCUGUAACUGACGCUGAUGUGCGAAGGCGUGGGGAUCAAACAGGAUUAGAUACCCUGGUAGUCCACGCCGUAAACGAUGGGUGCUAAGUGUUAGGGGGUUUCCGCCCCUUAGUGCUGCAGCUAACGCAUUAAGCACUCCGCCUGGGGAGUACGACCGCAAGGUUGAAACUCAAAGGAAUUGACGGGGACCCGCACAAGCGGUGGAGCAUGUGGUUUAAUUCGAAGCAACGCGAAGAACCUUACCAAAUCUUGACAUCCUCUGACCCCUCUAGAGAUAGAGUUUUCCCCUUCGGGGGACAGAGUGACAGGUGGUGCAUGGUUGUCGUCAGCUCGUGUCGUGAGAUGUUGGGUUAAGUCCCGCAACGAGCGCAGCCCUUAAGCUUAGUUGCCAUCAUUAAGUUGGGCACUCUAAGUUGACUGCCGGUGACAAACCGGAGGAAGGUGGGGAUGACGUCAAAUCAUCAUGCCCCUUAUGAUUUGGGCUACACACGUGCUACAAUGGACAAUACAAAGGGUAGCGAAACCGCGAGGUCAAGCAAAUCCCAUAAAGUUGUUCUCAGUUCGGAUUGUAGUCUGCAACUCGACUACAUGAAGCUGGAAUCGCUAGUAAUCGUAGAUCAGCAUGCUACGGUGAAUACGUUCCCGGGUCU
rnacentral:rRNA from 1 species